rnacentral:lncRNA from 1 species
AGAGAAACCGGAACGCCCGUAUUCCAGCCCAGAGAUCGAGGAGAAGUCUUCUGGAAUACGGCACUGCUUAGCAUAGAACAAAUCAGCUCUUUAUUGCAAUCUAUUGGGGUACAAGGGGAUUACAUCGGCACGGCGACACUACGCCUACCACAGUUGCUCUAUGCAAGCAGCAGAACAACACGACGCAGCGGAAUGACUACUGGUAUCGGAAAAGCGACGAUGGUGGUGAACUCCACUCCGCAUGGACUCUGGCUAGAACGCUUAUCCUACCCCGCAAACAAGGGAUCCAUGGCAAACAAGCAAUCAAAUCCGGCACGACCUGCAAACUGCCAUGACACGCCAGGUCAGUACAUUGAAUGUACUUGCAAGCUCACAGCAACCAAAGCAAUCAAGAUAAACAACAACAUGGCAAUUACAGGUUAUUAAGCAAUUAUGGACACGAUACUAUCAGAUCAACAUGGCAUGUACAACAUGAUAUAACUAGAACAAUACGAGCAUGGCAUAAACAUAUGAACCUGAUAAUACUAGCAUGCAACAGGAUGAAUCUAUCAUGCACCAACUUACUCUGCUCGGUUACCUCGUAACCAUCACCUGUAUCACUUACCAUCACGGAUAUCACACGAUCAUCUCAGGAUCCAAUCAAGCUUGGUAUUAACAAUACCGUAGCAAUCAUUUAUGAUCACAAGGAGCUUGACCUUUGCCCUUGACUCUCGCAUAACAUUCCAAAUAUCCAAUAAGUUGGUAUUCACGAUACUACAGUGAUCCUCUCACGAUCACAUAAAUAUCAACCACCUUCUUUCAUCAUCGAACCAGGGUUGUUAUUAAGCAAAUUAUUAUUAUUACUGUUGACCCACAGUGUGACCGACACGAACUGGGCCCAUAUCCGUGGGCGCGGCUAUCAAUAGAUUUAACACACACACUCUGCAGAGGUUAGCACACUGUACCCACACCACGGAACCAUGGCCUCGCACUCCCAUUCGGGUGGACCAAAGCGUUCCGACAAAACCGUCCUACUGCCAUGCCACCCCCCGGCCACUCCGACCAACUCCCCUUUGGGCUAAGUCCUGGGUGGCCCCGUGCCUACCAAAGGCACCAACGGCCACCGUCGUGGCAAAACAGUCCCAAACGGGGACAAGGAUCCAUACUCAACAACGGGCACACAAGGCUUAUGCCGUCCUACCUGGCCAAGGUAGCGCCCGCGCAUAACCUUCCCUCGCGGGAGGCACCGAUGAGAGGCAUGACAAUAUACCCAGUUAGGACCCCCCCAUAGGGUAAGCGUGGUUGCACUGGUCAGAUCGAUUUGGUAGCACCCUGACUCAGCCAACAGUUGUUCAAGUUCAAUUUAAUCCGGUUAAACUUGAAUGCAAUAUGCUGAGCCAUGAUAAAAAUUACAUGAUGCAACUACAAUGCAUGAACAUGAUAUCAACAAAACAUGGGGGUGCAACAUAAUCAAUGAGCAUAACAACAACAUUUAACAAUUUAUCCAGAUGAGCUUGGCUUACCUACGAGCUUGAAUAUCACAACUAGAACAUUACUCAUAGCAUAACAUGACUACUAGCAUCAGCAAUAACUACCAUGCAAUAACAUAACGAUAAACUACCAUGCAAGCAUUUAACCAACUGGGUGCAAAAGAACAUGCAUAACGGCGGUACUCGGAACAGACGAUAGUCAUGCACCGAAGACCAUCACCAACAUGUACUACUACCAAACAUUGCCAAUAUUAAAGUAAUACUAGCAUGAAGCACAUAAUAACAUAGUGCAAGAAAACAUAGCAUGACGGUAAACACCGAUCCAUAAGCAUAACCGAAAUAACGACAAUAGCAGCAAAGCAAACAAACAGUUAUUUAAGAUUCAAGUUGAAAACCAGUGCUUCCGCAUGGCUAUCAUGCAAAUGGUGGUUGUGGCUUGCGUGGGGAUGAAGAAAGCUCCGGGGAGAAGUGCGGAAAGAUCGCAGAAGGAAUCGCUAGAAAGGAUACUCUCGGAGGGUACUGAUUAGGGGAAAGGGCAAAAUGAUCAUUUUCAGAAUGUUGAAACAUAGUGAAAAUGUUACCAAAAGUUUGGGCUCGAAGAGACGAAGACGUGGGCGUUAGUUUCACCUCGUUUGGAGUUACAGUUGAAAAGAUGUGAAGGGUUGAAGUUCAGGGACCAUUCUGCAAAAAUAUUUCUACAAACAGGCCCCUGAGUGGAUAAGGCAGAAACGGUUUUGAGAAAAUACGCUUUCCAGAGAGGAAAACGUACUUGUGCCCGAAACAGAGACGGAAUACGCUUUCCCCAAAGGGAAAACGCACUCCCGCAGAAUGCGCUUCCACUUAAAUGACAUGGCAGGGCGGGGCCGGGGUUUGUGCGGCUGACGAGCGGGGCCCGCGGCUAGCUGGCAGGGAGGGGUCGUCGGCUUCGUCUUCUCCUUGCUCGCACCCGACGGAGCAGAGGACUGGUCCGGCGCCGGUGGCCGUUCCGGCUGCUCCGGCGGUCUCCCGGGCCGUGCAGCAUACCGGCGCGCUUAGGGGACCGAGACGCACCCGUCCAGAGCAUCCAUCCAUCUUGGGGAGGUCGGGCUCGAGCGGGGCCGCUGCUGCGGCGGACGGCGAUUCGGGAGGCGACGGGGCUUGCGGCCAGAGUGACUCCGGCAAGGGGGUGAGGGCACGGGGAGGAUCGAGGUGGUCCGGGGAGUGCUAUGGUAGCGACAGAAAGAAGGGGGAGGCUCGGCUUCGACCAAAUUUAAGAGGUCAGGGGCGACGGCCAUGGUGACAAGGGAGGGCGAGGAGAGCUCCGGGAGGCUAAUGGAGAGGCUAGGAAGGUUCCUGGGAGCGAGGUGAGGCUGCUGGAGUGCUCGGGCUGCGCAGGGAGGGGCUACUUAUAGCCGUGCGAGGUCAUGGCCGAGCUGGCGUCGCCGCGGACGCGUGGACGGCGCCGCAGACGCGUGUGCUCGCGCAUGAGCUCGGGGAAGACGACGGGGAGGGAACGGACGAGCGCCAGAGGUCACGGAGACGAGCGGAGCUCGGGGACAAGAGAGGGAAGCUGCCGUGGCGCGAACAGAGCCGGUCGGCUAUAGUUCGCCCGUGGGCGCACGGCGACGAGCGCCAGCGAGGAGGCUUCGGGAGGGGGAGACGGCUCCAGGGGAACGGCGACAACGCGGGCUAGCUGUUGGACACGACGAGGCGCGCGAGCACGACGAACCGAGGAGGGGCCCGAGCAAAACGUCGCUCAGCUCGCAUCCAUAGCGUGCUAGGGCGGUGGUGACCGCGUGAGCUGGAAAGGAGAAGAGGCCAAGGGCUGCCCUAAGAUGUCUAGUGAUUAGUCCUUGCAUACUAGAGGUCGAGGGAGGUGACGGAUCACGCAGAAGUGUAGGGAGCAGAGGGGAGCAAGCUCGACAAGGUUGCUGUAUCAAAUUUGGACGAGCACUGCUGAUCAACAGGGAAGGGCUUGGAGUCAAACGAGUUGUCUGGUGUGAUUAGCUACGGAAGAACUAUGAUCCUGGAGAUUUGGAGGUGAUUUGGACCAAGAAUUAAUAUAGUUGCUUUGCAACUGCAUAAUCUGGUCCAGAAUAGAAAUCAUGAUGAUGCACUCAAAUGGUGAAGCCACUUGAGCUGAACUUGGGCAGGGCAGAGUUAUUUGGUCAUAUGAAGAUGCUGAAAAAGGUUUCACACCAUUUGGAUAAACCAAAAUGGUACUUCCUUCACAAACAUCCCCACUGACCAGAAACUUGCAGAAAUUCUAGAGGGAAAAUGGCUAAAUGGAUUGAGUCACAACUUGGUGGAGGGAGUUUAUAUGGAUAGGAGAAGGCCUAGAAAAAUUUACAGCAUAAUGAAGCAAGAUAAAAUAUAUUUGCUUCACAAACUGAAAGUUUGGACAGAAUCAAAGAAUUGAAGAUGAGCUUACAUGGAGGCAUUACAUGAGCUCAGCUUUGGUCGAGGGCUAUGAUAUGAUGAUAUCGAGGUCAUGCAUAAAUUGCAACUCAUUUGGAUAUGCCUAGCUUGUACCUCCUUCACAAAAUUUCUUUCUGGACAGGAACUUUGGAAAAUCAUAAUUAAAUGACUACUAGGCAAAUGAGGUUGCAUUUUGGCAUGUGGCAAUGAUAUGGACAUGAAAAGGUGCGCAAGGAGUUUGAGGCCACUUGGGAAAAUAAAAAUAGCACUUGCUUCACAAAGUGCCAUUUAGGACAGAAUAGGAAAAGAAUUAUUGGGGAAUUAUUUUUGAACAUGGCAAUGAAACGUUUUGCCAUAUUUUAUGAAGAUAGGACCCAAACAAUUUAUGAGAAUUAUUUGGGAAUUUUAGGAGUAAUGGAGAUAUAGGUUGCUUCACAACCUAGGGCAAAAAGGAUGAUUCCUUUAAUAGAAAAGGAAUAUUCCCAAUAAAAAGAAUAUUGGGAUUGGGCUAGGAUGGAAAUGAAAUGAUCUAGGGAAGGAUUUGAGGAUGACAAGCCACUCUGGAAAUAAAAGAAGAGGUCAUCUUCUUCAGUUUCCAGACCACAAAGCCACGGAAAAAGAAAACUCAAGCAAAAACCUCAGAAAAUCAAAUGAAAAAGAAAGGGCCAAAAAUCAGGCUGUGACAAACCUUCCCCCCUUAAAGAAAUCUCGUCCUCGAGAUUUGGUUGCUCCGGGAACAAGUAUGAAUAUAUUGCCUUAAGGAAACUGUUUCCAACUCGGGUAUCCUUUUUCCUUUGUUGAUUGUUCCCAUUAGAUUCUUCAUCUGAUUGACCUGACUGGCUCUGGGGUUGCUUGCUUCACUUUAUCCAUAUCCUGGCAGAUCUUAACUCACAUGUUCUGCUUAUACUAGCUCCAAUUCUGUUUAUAUCUGCUGACUUAGCUGAGAUUACCAUGACUGAAAUAUCUGCCUGUCUCACAAAUCCGAGAGUGACUUCCAAUGGUUGUAUGUACUGACAACUGUCCAUGAAUUGGUGAUCCGAUUUGUCCUGAUGAACACCCAAGCUCUGACUCCUUGCAUUGGGUUUCUCCAUUAAAUGCAAGUCCUUCAGGUUCCAAACAGUGAGUUGCGGCAUAUCCGUUUUUCUGGCAGAUUCUGACUUAUCGCAGGAAUUUCUGACCCAUCCUGACUGGCUCCACUGUCUUGAAUCUCAGCUUCAUACCAAAUAUUUGAUUGUCGCCUGUCGUUGCCAGCAUAAGGGGUAUGGCCUUAUAUGAUAGUAUCCGCAGACUUGACUGACUGUGAAUCUCGUGAAAGAAUUUUGUCCAUGACAGGCUAUCCGUUGAGGCUUCACAUAAGUGAGGGCACAUGCUCCCAGACUGUUAUUCACCAUCCAAAAUUGAGCAGACCCUUUUAGUGAAUAUCCAUGGUGAUCCAUACUGACUCAGACUGUCCGGGGUAUCUGCACCAUUUGAAUUAUGCAACAAUUAUCAGUCUGGCUCCUUCAUUACUGUUUUCCUUGCCUGGAUCCUUGGGUGAAGGAACGGGGUCAUAUUGCUUCCUCGUGUGACCAUAGGUUCUGUCGGGUGCAAUAUUCUGACAGCUGUACUCUUAUCUGCAUCUUCUGACAUGGUAAUCCAUUAAAUGGCGGGUUCAACACUUCUCAAGUUUUGACCGUAGGAAAAUGAUCAUCCAAACCCUUGCAAGAAAUCGGCAAAUAAAUCAGUAGCCACCAGAACGGUCUUUACAACUCAGAUCUGGGACAUUACUGAAAUAACUCAACCACGGCUCAGGACGGCUGAAAAGCAGCUCAGAACAUGAGACCGGGUCGAUAAGAAGAAAGUGGCAGCUCCCUAAAAUAGCCAAAAAGUAGCUAAAAGCAUAGGGCCACUGUCACAAAAAGAAACUCAACAGCUGUACGAGCCGGCCGGAAAACAGCUCAGAACUUGUGAAAGUUGUUGAAUAGAGAAAUAUAAAGUCGACAUCCACCCUGAAUGGCCAAAAACAGCUCAGAACACAGGCGUGGUGCCGUUACCAGAGAAAAGAAGACAAGGGCUCAUCACGAUCAUAUUCCAGGUUCACCGGUACUUGUACAGAGCUCAGUGUUGUCGUCAAUCUUCAUAGUCCUUUGUCACACUAAGGUGUAUAUCUGGUUUCCUUCACAUAUAUCCGAGAAUCUGAUUCUCGAGGCAGACUUGUGUUCUGACUGAUUCUUGCUUCUGACCAACUGUUGCGGAUCUGAUUCUGCCAUUUGCUGUCAAUUUGCACCAGUGCCGUACUGAGGACGGUUGGAUGGCUUAUGCUUUGACUGAAAUUGCACUGUUGGUCCUGCACAUAGCUUAUCUUCUUGCUGAGUUGAUCAUUUCUGCCAUGAAGAGUGCACACUAAGGCAAACUUGAUACUAACUGUCCAUCCAGGAUUCCUCUUGCAUUCAGACGAGAUAUUCCAAAUUUCACUGCAGUCUGCUGAUAACUUCAUUCCCUAAGCACACAAAUAUCGCGGAAACUCCGGUACUACGGUCUAAUAUGCUGUGACGGUGUGCACGAAAGUGAAUCUGCGUGUGAAAGGAGAGUUGGUGUAACCGAGACUACACCAAGCGUUGGCUGAACUCCGGUUCUAACUGGAUGAAUACGGAAGCGAGGACGGACUUGGUGAUCAUGUAGCGAGACACGGAGGUCAUGACCAAAUCAUCAUCAAGCGUACGAACACGUCCAAAGAAUGGAAUGACAGGGCAAUAUAGUGGAGGAAAAGCAAGGCUUGAUGGCAUUGCCCUUUUCUGAUAACAAAUAUCAGUAAGGGUUGCCGAAGGGACGAGAUGGAUGGCACGAUUCGGGAUAGAGACAAGUCUAUCACCGAAAUAAAUACGGGUGGGUGGAGGAAAGAUAUCGAUGUGAUACCUGAGCAUAACUCCGACAAAAUGGUGUCCGGAACACUUGGUACCAGGGCAUCACUCUGCUGGGACAGAGGUAGCGCCAAACACCGAAGAGCGGGUAUGCAAAGAAGGAGGGCGCAGGUAGUGGAUCGAAACCGAUACCACCCACACUCACAAGAUUAACCGUUAGCGACAAGAUAAUAUCUAUAUGCAUGCUAUGCAACAAACAAAUGCAGCAAUCAUGUGCAACAAACCAACGGGGCUCUAUACUACCGCAUUCUAACGUUCGCGCGGGCUAGGGCAUCCUACAACCAGACCUGCUCUGAUACCAGGCCUAUGGCACCCCGGCUCAGAGAAACCGGAACGCCCCGUAUUCCAGCCCAGAGAUCGAGGAGAAGUCUUCUGGAAUACAGCACUGCUUAGCAUAGAACAAAUCAGCUCUUUAUUGCAAUCUAUUGGGGUACAAGGGGAUUACAUCGGCACGGCAACACUACGCAUGCCACGGUUGCUCUAUGCAAGCAGCAGAACAACACGACGCAUUGGAAUGACUACUGGUAGCGGAAAAGCGACGAUGGUGGUGAACUCCACUCCGCAGGGACUCUGGCAGGAACGCUUGUCCUAGCGCGCAAAAAAGGGAUCCGCGGCAAACAAGCAAUCAAAUCCGGCACGACCUGCAAACUAGCAUGACACGCCAGGUCAGUACAUUGAAUGUACUUGCAAGAUCACAGCGAUCAAAGCAAUCAAGACAAACAACAACAUGGCAAUUACAGGUUAUUAAGCAAUGAUGAACACGAUACUAUCAGAUCAACAUGGCAUGUACAACAUGAUAUAACUAGAACAAUACGAGCAUGGCAUAAACAUAUGAACAUCAUAAUACUCGCUUGCAACAGGAUGAAUCUACCAUGCACCAACUUACUCUGCUCAGUUACCUCGUAACCAUCACCUGUAUCACUUACCAUCACGGAUAUCACACGAUCAUCUCAGGAUCCAAUCAAGCUUGGUAUUAACAAUACCGUAGCAAUCAUUUAUGAUCACAAGGAGCUUGACAUUUGCCCUUGACUCUCGCAUAACAUUCCAAAUAUCCAAUAAGUUGGUAUUCACGAUACUACAGUGAUCCUCUCACGAUCACAUAAAUAUCAACCAACUUCUUUCAUCAUCGAACCAGGGUUGUUAUUAAGCAAAUUAUUAUUAUUACUGUUGACCCACUGUGCGACCGACACGAACUGGGCCCAUAUCCGCGGGCGCGGCUAUCGAUAGAUUUAACACACACACACUCUGCAGAGGUUAGCACACUGUACCCACACCACGGAAACCUGGCCUCGCACUCCCAUUCGGGUGGACCAAAGCGUUCUGACAAAACCGUCCUACUGCCAUGCCACCCCCCGGCCACUCCGACCAAUUCCCCUUUGGGCUAAGUCCUGGGUGGCCCCGUGCCUACCAAAGGCACCAACGGCCACCGUCGUGGCAAAACGGUCCCAAACGGGGACAAGGAUCCAUACUCAACAACGGGCACACAAGGCUUAUGCCGUCCUACCUGGCCAAGGUAGCGCCCGCGCAUAACCUUCCCUCGCGGGAGGCACCGUUGAGAGGCAUGACAAUAGACCCAGUUAGGACCCCCCAUAGGGUAAGCGUGGUUGCACUGGUCAGAUCGAUAUGGUGGCACCAUGACUCAGCCAACAGUUGUUCAAGUUCAAUUUAAUCCGGUUAAACUUGAAUGCAAUAUGCUGAGCCACGAUAAAAAUAACAUGAUGCAACUAGAAUGCAUAAACCUGAUAUCAACAAAAGCAUGGGGGUGCAACAUAAUCAAUGAGCAUAACAACAACAUUUAACAAUUUAUCCAGAUGAGCUUGGCUUACCUACGAGCAUGAAUAUCACAACUAGAACAUUACUCAUAGCAUAACAUGACUACUAGCAUCAACAAUAACUACCAUGCAAUAACAUAACGAUAAACUACCAUGCAAGCAUUUAACCAACUGGGUGCAAAAGAACAUGCAUAACGGCGGUACUCGAAACAGACGAUAGUCAUGCAGCGAAGACCAUCACCAACAUGUACUACUACCAAACAUUGCCAAUAUUAAAGUAAUACUAGCAUGAAGAACAUAAUAACAGAGUGCAAGAAAACAUAGCAUGACGGUAAACACCGAUCCAUAAGGAUAACCGAAAUAACGACAAUAGCAGCAAAGCAAACAAACAGUUAUUUAAGAUUCAAGUUGAAAACCAAUGCUUCUGCAUGGCUAUCAUGCAAAUGGUGGUUGUGGAUUGCCUGGGGAUGAAGAAAGGUCCGGGGAGAAGUGCGGAAAGAUCGCGGAAGGAAUCGCCGGAAAGGAUACUCUCUCGGAGGGGACUGAUUAGGGGAAAGGGAAAAAUGGUCAUUUUAUGAAUUUUGAAACAUAGUGAAAAUGGUACCAAAAGUUUGGGCUCGAAGAUACGAAGACGUGGGCGUUGGUUUCACCUCGUUUGGAGUUACGGUUGAAAAGAUGUGAAGGGUUGAAGUUCAGGGACCAUUCUACAAAAAUAUUUCUACAAACAGGCCCCUGAGUGGAUAAGGCAGAAACAGUUUUGAGGAAAUACGCUUUUCCAGAGAGGAAAACGUACUUAUUCCCGAAACAGAGAAGGAAUACGCUUUCCCCAAAGGGAAAACGCACUCCCGGAGAAUACGCUUCCACUUAAAUGACGUGGCAGGGCGGGGCCGGGGCUUGUGCGGCUAACGAGCGGGGCCCGCGGCCAGCUGGCAGGGAGGGGUCGUCGGCUUCGUCUUCUCCUCGCUCG